rnacentral:rRNA from 1 species
GACGAACGCUGGCGGCGUGCUUAACACAUGCAAGUCGAACGGAAAGGCCCUGCUUUUGUGGGGUGCUCGAGUGGCGAACGGGUGAGUAACACGUGAGUAACCUGCCCUUGACUUUGGGAUAACUUCAGGAAACUGGGGCUAAUACCGGAUAGGAGCUCCUGCUGCAUGGUGGGGGUUGGAAAGUUUCGGCGGUUGGGGAUGGACUCGCGGCUUAUCAGCUUGUUGGUGGGGUAGUGUCUUACCAAGGCUUUGACGGGUAGCCGGCCUGAGAGGGUGACCGGCCACAUUGGGACUGAGGUACGGCCCAGACUACUACGGGAGGCAGCAGUGGGGAAUAUUGCACAGUGGGCGGAAGCCUGAUGCAGCAACGCCGCGUGCGGGAUGACGGCCUUCGGGUUGUAAACCGCUUUCGCCUGUGACGAAGAGUGAGUGACGGUAAUGGGUAAAGAAGCACCGGCUAACUACGUG